GCGAUAAUUUGUCCUUUAAUUGAGGAAUGGUACGAAUGGUUUGACGUGUGAUUGCUUUUUUUGCAUGAGUUUUGCGAAAUUUCCUUUUAAGGUGAAAAGGCUUAAAUUUCUGAAAAAGACGAGAAGACCCUGUCGAACUUGAUUUGAACUGUUGUUUUGGUAUAUCAGCUUAACAUGUUCAGAAGUUUUAUUGGGGCAAUAGGUGCUAAAAUAACAGCCUGGGUAAACGAAGAUCCUUUUUGAAAGAAAUUGGGCAAAAGUUACCGCAGGGAUAACAGCGUAAUUUUUCCUGAGAGAUCGAAUUGGGGGAAAAG
rnacentral:rRNA from 1 species